AGGAAAUCCUUGUGUGCAACUACCACCCUGGGUUGAAAGCAGGAGUACCGGUGUACAAGAAAGGGGAGCCUUGCAGUGAUUGCGGCAGUGAUUUCGAAUGUGACGUUACGAAAUUAUGUGUAGAAAAGGUCAAGAUUUCGACCUCCGGUGAGUCCAGAAUCGACGGGGCUCCCUCCUUGCUGGCCAUCGUAGGCAUCGGCGCCGC
rnacentral:lncRNA from 1 species